UGACCUUGCUCCGGGCGAGGUUUACCCAGCCGGCCGGGUCGCCCCGGCCGCUGGUGGUCUCUUACACCACCGUUUCACCCUUACCGCGGGCCGGAGCCCGUGGCGGUCUGCUCUCUGUUGCACUUUCUCGCGGGUUGCCCCGGGUGGGUGUUACCCACCGCCCUGCUCUGCGGAGCCCGGACGUUCCUCGG
rnacentral:misc_RNA from 1 species